GGAUGCUCUCCUUAUGGUGUGAUGGUGGCCGGAUUCAAAACAACACUACUCCUGGAGCCGGGUAAGAGGCUGAUUAUAUUUAGAGUACAUUCACUUCCCACGGUCAUCUGGUAGGAAAGGAAGCACUGUUGAAACCUCAUCUUCUCCACUGGACAGUGUCGUGACUGGGGGAAUUAGUGGAAGAAAAAAGGAUAAACCCACCUGGGGUCUAGAUCUAGAAUGCUAAUCAGAGCUUGAAGUAACACAGCUUUUUUUUUCUUCUUCUUUUUUUUUUUUUUUUUUUUCUUUGUAGGACCACACCUGAGGUAUAUGGAGGUUCCCAGGCUAGGGUCGAACUGAGCUGAAGCUGCCAGCCUACACAACCAGGGCAAUGCCAGACCCAGCUGUGUCUCUGACCUACAUCACAGCUCACAGCAACGUCAUCGGAUCCUUAAUCCACUGAGCAAGGCUAGCCUGCAUCCUCAGGGAUACUAGUCAUGUUCGUUACAACUGAGCCACAGUGGGAACUCCCAAGACAGAGCUAUUUUUGCCUGGCUUUCACAUCUGAGAUCUCUUCCAAAAUAGAAACUGUUACUUUCACUCUCUGGGGGCAACUUGGGGUAAAGGAUUAGCAGGUACAUGCCCUUAGUAUAAAUUUCAGAUGCCUAGGACAUCAAUCUCCCUUGAAAGAGGCCAACCUCUCCUUUCUCCAUUUUCAGCGGGUACCAAAUCUAGGCUUAUUCUCACAGCUGCGGAUGAGAAGCAGGUAAUCCUAAAAUUUUUUUUGCAAGGAAAGGGCCUAGAUUUAGCACAUGCUAUAGCAGACAGGGGCUUUAGAGAUUUAUUACAGAGAAUGAGCGAAGUCAAGUUGAAUUGCUUGAGACAGAGCAAACUCUGAGCAAGCUCACGUGCCCCCGUCGACUGACUUCUUAACUGUCUUUCCAUCCUCUUCCCUUUUUAUUUGGGGAAACAGACUCUCCGCUGUAGCUCUGGGGUGUGUGUCAGCACUUUAUCAUUGCUCGUGUUAAUUUCCUCAUGCGUCUUUCCCACCCAGCACCAUGUGCUGAAUCAUCCCCCAUGAUCCUUUCUGCUUUGAGACUGAACUCUCCAGUGUCACAAGCGGCCACCACGUUUUCUUCACAUGAUAGCCAUCAUGAAAAGACUAUCAAAACAGAGCUGAUACUGUUAGGAAAGUUCUCUUAAAUGGAACUGGGAGGCCACUGAGAAAUUAUGACUUAACGCACAUCUCAGCUCAGAUGGAGUCUAACCUUUUGACCAUUUAUUGUCUGAACACAGGCAUCCAGAACAUCUGCACAACGGUCCAGAAACCCAAGAUACUGAUAGAAUUCUUACCCUAAACAACUUGUGACAACCUACCCAUUAGGGCAAAUGUUUCCUUUCUUGUGUCAGGGUGCAGACUCAUGGCUUUUGCCUUUAUAAGCCCUCCUUUCUCUUCUCCAGAAUAUUCUUUUGGUUGGCCUGAAUCCGUGUCUCCCCAGUUGCAAUUCUUAUGAUGCCGAAUAAACGCUUCCUUGCAGCCUUCUAUGUUUUUUUCAUCAACACUAUUCAAAUUUGUGCAGCCUCAGUGGACACAAUGUAUAUUCUGUUUAAUAGUCUUGCUUGAGGCGGUUUCCUAUUGUUAUCUCCUUAGUUUCCCUCUGAGGGUGCAUGGUUUCUUUUUUUGUAAACUUCUUGGGAUCUGUCUCCUGGACCCUGCCUGGAGGUUUUUGGCAAGAUGUGGGACAGUGUCCUUCCAGUCAUUGCAGUUACACUUGAGCAGGGGAGAGAGAGCCAAGGCGUAUUCUGCCCAGUGCUGCUUGAACUUAAUGGGUGAUUGGAGAAGGAAUGGAGCAGAGUAGGUUAGGCUGUUAAUUGGAAUCAAUGAAGCAGACUCUAUGAAGCCCGAUUUUAAUACAGAAAAAUAAGAUAGUAAUUAAAUAGUAAGAAUAAAGCUUAACUUGGAGAUUAAAAUGUUAAAAACAUAGUAUGAUUUUUUUCUAUCUUGAAAGACUGUACAAUUAAAUUUUCUUCAAGUUAUGAAACAAUCUGUUGUGGGGCUAGAUCCAAGGACUGCUUUUUUGGUGUGUAAUCGCAAGCAUCUUUUUCAUAAGCAUUUAGGAUGGUCAUUUUCUGUCUUUCCCAGAAAUGUAUGAAUCAUGGUAAACUUAUUCCUCUUAGAAUCAGACAUGUUGUAAACUGGGAAAUCUUUGGGGCUGUUUCUUUAAGAAUUAUGAGUGGGUGAGUGAGGUGGAUGAGUGAGGCAAUGACAUAAUAUUUACCAGAGGAUUUGGAAAAUUAAAUAACUAUUUGCAACAUAAUGUAUUUGUCAUCAGAUUAAGUAAACCUUUUUAAAAUUCCAAUUGUAUGUUGAGAACUUUUACAAUUGGCACCUUAUUUAAUAUUGAGGCAAAUUAAACUUUAUUAUGUUCUAUUUUAUAUUUUAGACACAAGUCUUUUCAUUAGAGAUUUUUUUUUUUGGCCAGUAUUUUCUACCAGCAUAUGGCUUGAUUUUUUUUUUUUUUUCAGUCUCUUAACAAUGUCUUUCACAGAGCGGAAGUUUUUAAUUUUAGUAAAGUCACAUUUAGCCACUUUUUUCCCCCUUGGGUGGAUUGUGCUUUCAGUGUUAGAUUAUUGAAAUCCAUUGCCAAGUCAAGGUCUUGUAGAUUUUCUUCUAGAAGUUUUGUAGUUUUGCAUUUUAUUCUUAGGUAUAUGAUCCAUUUUGAGUUAAUCUUCUGCAUUGUGUAAGUAAUGUGUCCAGGUUUAUUUUUCUGCAUGUACAAUUCUCUGGUACAAUUGUUCCAGUGUCAUGGCUUAAAGUCAAAGAUGGUCCUUUCUCCAUUGAUUUGACUUUGCUUCUUUGUCAAAGAUCAGUUGGCUACAUCUGUGUGGGUCUCAUUUUGGACUCUAUUCUGACCCAUUAAUUUAUGGGUCUAUGCCUCUGCCAGUCUUUUUUUUUUUUUUUUGUCUUUUUGCCAUUUCUUGGGCUGUUCUCACGGCAUAUGGAGGUUCCCAGGCUAGGGGUCCAAUCAGAGCUGUAGCUGCCAGCCUACCCCAGAGCUGCAGCAAUGCGGGAUCCAAGCCACGUCUGCCACCUACACCACAGCUCAAGGCAAUGCCAGAUCCUUAACCCACUGAGCAAAGCCAGGGAUCAAACCCGCAACCUCAUGGUUCCUAGUUGGAUUCGUUAACCACUGAGCCAGGGCGGGAACUCCUCUGCCAGUUUUAAUAGAUGAAGAAUAAUUUCAGGGAAGUUAAGUGAUCAUCUUCAAGUUGUAGAUUCACUAAGUUGCAGAGUAGGAAUUGGAAAUUACAUCUUUUGAAUUCAUAUGCCAUCCUGCUCAGUAAACUACAGUUACCUCCCUUCCAAUGUAGAACAAAAACUCUGUGCUACUGUUAAUCAUGAUACUGGUGCCCCUUCCUAGUUGGCCCUAUGACCUUCGCGCACGUUGGCCACAAGGGGGCAGAGUUGACAGAAAGAGUGGCUGCUGGAUAGAUGAUACCUUGUACACAGAAAGUCUUGUCUACCUGUGCAAUCUGAACCUUGGCAUUGACUAAUUGGAAGCUGAUUGCUUUAUUGAAAUAUGCACAGGUGCAAAUUAAAACCCAAGUCCCUUCACAAUCUAAGAUGGAAGAUUUCUGGUAAUACUGUACUUGCUGAAUAAUGAUGCGAGCUGCUAAGGAUGCAGCUGUAAAGGGCUUGAUUAUUGGCUUCUGCUUCCACUUCCUAUAAGUUUAUAGAAAGGAGAGAGGGUGUAAUCAGUUGUGCUUUGAGAAAUUUUUGCAGAGCCCUAGUUUUGAUAUUGUAGAAUUUUUAAAGAAAGGUGUAGUUUGAAGUUUAAAUUUAAAAAAAAAUUUAGAAAACGCAAUAAUAUAGAUGUACACAAGUCUGGAAUUGUAUGAGAUUUAAAGUAUUUCAUACAUACACAUAUCAUUGUUUUUUAACUUAAGAAAUAGAUAAGCUUUCAGUGAAAGACCAGUGUUUUCUGGCUUUCAGGAUGAAUGGACCUCCUGGUCUUUAGCCCACAGUGAAUCAUCUAAGUAACAGUGAAAAGAAUUUAAGACUUAAGUCACCUUCUGUGGAACUUGGGUGAAAUCUUGAAUUCUUGAUAAUGAAUGAAUUCUAAAAUAUCAGUAUUAUUACAUACAGCAAUUAUGAAUAUUCCUUCUACCCAUAUUUUAUGAUGGGUUGUUGGGGUUAUGGCAGGAGAAUGAAUGAUCAUCUGAUUAGGGCUCUCAUAGCACGGUUUACACCCAGUCAUACACUCUGGAUAAUUUGGUAUCUGAUACAAACCUCGUCUCAAAAUUAUUUUGUCCUUCUAAAGCUUAAAGUUUAGAGGUAAUUAAGAAGACAUACAGAUUGUAGAAUAGGGCGUCACCAAGUUCCUAGAAGGAUUUUGGCAAAACACUUGGGAGAAGUUUGGAAUAUAAAAGCUAGAUUCUUUAAUAAUAGAUAGUGUAGUAACUCUAAGGGGUCAAGAUGUUAUUCAUAAAGAAUAUAUAUGUAGUUAUAGUUGCAGUAAGUAUUCUUUUAAGAUGUUUUAUAAAUAAAAAUAGUUGAGAUGGAAACUCACAGAAAUGAAACUACUUGUCAAAUGCUGUUUUACCAAUUUGUUUUUGCACAGUGUAAUCUUGGCAAUUCCUUGCAUCUCUCAAAAGCCAUGGAUCUGCAUUUGUGCUAUCAAAGUGUUCAGAAAUCCCAGACUUCCUCUAAGGCAUCAAAAUGCUUUGGAACAUCUGUAUGCUAAAUAUAGGCUGAAAACUGUGCAAGAUAUAUGCUCUGUGCUAGUUUUGAACUUUGAAGCAUAUGGGAGUUUGUACUUUUCUGCCAGAACUAAUAGCUGCAUAGUCAAUCAAUUUAAAGCAUU
rnacentral:lncRNA from 1 species